GUCGAAGUGGGACGACCAUAUAUGAGGUGUUGCGGAUACGAAGGGCGAACUCAACAUUCGAACAAAAAAUUUUUUCCCCCAUUCUGCUCCCAUGACGCCACAGAAUACGCUGGUAAGUUUUUUAUUAAGUUUGGCCUUCCUAACCAUACAAAAGCACGGUUUAAAAAACAGCAACCAUUGACUAAGUGCAAUAGAGUUGCGGAUACAAAAGGCGAACUCAACAUUCCGCAGCACGUGAUCCACCAUUUUAUAGAUAUAUAAUUAUAUUGUUUCUAUAAUACUGUUAAAAAAGAGCAUCAGAAUUUAUUAAAUCUUUUACGCGAC
rnacentral:lncRNA from 1 species